UUUCUUCUCCAUUUUACUAGUAGUGUAGUUCAUUGUGUAUCGUGCCGACAAAUUGUAAGAGUUAGGGUCCUAUUUACUUGUGAUUUGUUCUUAUUUAAAAUUGCAACUUACAACUAAAAAUUUGAACUGCUCAUUUUGAUUUAACAGUGGUGGUAACUAUGUUUAACCAAUUUCCCUGUCAAUUUUGGGGAAACACAAACAUUUACUGGUUAUCUAUGGCCAAAUCCAGUGCUUCUUUUGUUUCCUUUUUGCGUGAAGAUUUCUCUUGUUGGAAGACAAGUUCGCCUAAGCCAUAACCUUCUUGACUCGCCACACCUUUACUAUCUGAACUAUGAACAACCAGCUUCGGCUAUAGAAGUUACGGGUUUGAAACAGAUUUGAUGAUCGAGUUUUCUAUUAUGGGACAUAAUUAUAGGGAAAGGUUGAUUGCCUCCUAUGUGGUAUUUUUUCUCUGUCACUUUUGUGCAUCUUGAUUGUUCUUAUACUUAUUAAUUUUAAUUCACACCUGAUGCCCUGCAAAUAGCUGAAAUCAUUAGCAACCCAGGUGCUUCUGAGGCAAUCAUGUUCUCGGAACUAUUAUACAACAUGUUGUCUUUUGACUAUUUGAACUAAGCAACCCAGGUGCUUCUGAGCUCUGCACAUGGCUGAAAUCAUUAGCGGUCUUUCCUUUCUUAUGUUAUUAUGCUCCGCGCUGCCUAAAUUCCUCUAAAGAUUUAUAAUUUAGUUCUAGGAAUUGGAGCUACAGAUGCAACAUGUUGUCAGGCUGUCAGCACUGUGACAAAA